rnacentral:tRNA from 1 species
UAGCUCAGUGGUAGAGCACUUACCUGGCAUGUACUAGGCCCUGGGUUCAACACCCAG